GACGAACGCUGGCGGCGUGCCUAACACAUGCAAGUCGAGCGAGUGAAUCUCCUUCGGGAGUGAAGCUAGCGGCGGACGGGUGAGUAACACGUGGGCAACCUGCCUCAUAGAGGGGAAUAGCCUUUCGAAAGGAAGAUUAAUACCGCAUAAGAUUGUAGCUUCGCAUGAAGUAGCAAUUAAAGGAGCAAUCCGCUAUGAGAUGGGCCCGCGGCGCAUUAGCUAGUUGGUGAGGUAACGGCUCACCAAGGCGACGAUGCGUAGCCGACCUGAGGGGGUGAUCGGCCACAUUGGGACUGAGAAACGGCCCAGACUCCUACGGGAGGCAGCAGUGGGGAAUAUUGCACAAUGGGGGAAACCCUGAUGCAGCAACGCCGCGUGAGUGAUGACGGCCUUCGGGUUGUAAAGCUCUGUCUUCAGGGACGAUAAUGACGGUACCUGAGGAGGAAGCCACGGCUAACUACGUGCCAGCAGCCGCCGUAACAC
rnacentral:rRNA from 1 species